rnacentral:rRNA from 1 species
CUACGGGGCGCUGCAGUGAGGAAUAUUGGUCAAUGGGCGUAAGCCUGAACCAGCCAUGCCGCGUGCAGGAAGAAUGCCCUAUGGGUUGUAAACUGUUUUUAUUUGGGAAUAAACCUCUUUACGUGUAGAGAGCUGAAGGUACCAAAUGAAUAAGCACCGGCUAACUCCGUGCCAGCAGCCGCGGUAAUACGGAGGGUGCAAGCGUUAUCCGGAAUCAUUGGGUUUAAAGGGUCCGCAGGCGGAUUUAUAAGUCAGUGGUGAAAUCCUAUCGCUUAACGAUAGAACUGCCAUUGAUACUGUAAGUCUUGAAUUCGGUCGGAGUGGGCGGAAUGUGUAGUGUAGCGGUGAAAUGCAUAGAUAUUACACAGAACACCGAUAGCGAAGGCAGCUCACUAGGCCUGAAUUGACGCUCAGGGACGAAAGCGUGGGGAUCAAACAGGAUUAGAUACCCUGGUAGUC